rnacentral:rRNA from 1 species
GAGUUUGAUCAUGGCUCAGAUUGAACGCUGGCGGCAGGCCUAACACAUGCAAGUCGAACGGUAACAGGAAGCAGCUUGCUGCUUUGCUGACGAGUGGCGGACGGGUGAGUAAUGUCUGGGAAACUGCCUGAUGGAGGGGGAUAACUACUGGAAACGGUGGCUAAUACCGCAUAACGUCGCAAGACCAAAGAGGGGGACCUUCGGGCCUCUUGCCAUCAGAUGUGCCCAGAUGGGAUUAGCUUGUUGGUGAGGUAACGGCUCACCAAGGCGACGAUCCCUAGCUGGUCUGAGAGGAUGACCAGCCACACUGGAACUGAGACACGGUCCAGACUCCUACGGGAGGCAGCAGUGGGGAAUAUUGCACAAUGGGCGCAAGCCUGAUGCAGCCAUGCCGCGUGUAUGAAGAAGGCCUUCGGGUUGUAAAGUACUUUCAGCGGGGAGGAAGGUGUUGUGGUUAAUAACCGCAGCAAUUGACGUUACCCGCAGAAGAAGCACCGGCUAACUCCGUGCCAGCAGCCGCGGUAAUACGGAGGGUGCAAGCGUUAAUCGGAAUUACUGGGCGUAAAGCGCACGCAGGCGGUCUGUCAAGUCGGAUGUGAAAUCCCCGGGCUCAACCUGGGAACUGCAUUCGAAACUGGCAGGCUUGAGUCUUGUAGAGGGGGGUAGAAUUCCAGGUGUAGCGGUGAAAUGCGUAGAGAUCUGGAGGAAUACCGGUGGCGAAGGCGGCCCCCUGGACAAAGACUGACGCUCAGGUGCGAAAGCGUGGGGAGCAAACAGGAUUAGAUACCCUGGUAGUCCACGCCGUAAACGAUGUCUACUUGGAGGUUGUGCCCUUGAGGCGUGGCUUCCGGAGCUAACGCGUUAAGUAGACCGCCUGGGGAGUACGGCCGCAAGGUUAAAACUCAAAUGAAUUGACGGGGGCCCGCACAAGCGGUGGAGCAUGUGGUUUAAUUCGAUGCAACGCGAAGAACCUUACCUGGUCUUGACAUCCACGGAAGUUUUCAGAGAUGAGAAUGUGCCUUCGGGAACCGUGAGACAGGUGCUGCAUGGCUGUCGUCAGCUCGUGUUGUGAAAUGUUGGGUUAAGUCCCGCAACGAGCGCAACCCUUAUCCUUUGUUGCCAGCGGUCCGGCCGGGAACUCAAAGGAGACUGCCAGUGAUAAACUGGAGGAAGGUGGGGAUGACGUCAAGUCAUCAUGGCCCUUACGACCAGGGCUACACACGUGCUACAAUGGCGCAUACAAAGAGAAGCGACCUCGCGAGAGCAAGCGGACCUCAUAAAGUGCGUCGUAGUCCGGAUUGGAGUCUGCAACUCGACUCCAUGAAGUCGGAAUCGCUAGUAAUCGUGGAUCAGAAUGCCACGGUGAAUACGUUCCCGGGCCUUGUACACACCGCCCGUCACACCAUGGGAGUGGGUUGCAAAAGAAGUAGGUAGCUUAACCUUCGGGAGGGCGCUUACCACUUUGUGAUUCAUGACUGGGGUGAAGUCGUAACAAGGUAACCGUAGGGGAACCUGCGGUUGGA